rnacentral:rRNA from 1 species
CAGGAUUAGAUACCCUGGUAGUCCACGCAGUAAACGAUGAUUACUAGGAGUUUGCGAUAUAAUGUAAGCUCUACAGCGAAAGCGUUAAGUAAUCCACCUGGGGAGUACGCCGGCAACGGUGAAACUCAAAGGAAUUGACGGGGGCCCGCACAAGCGGAGGAACAUGUGGUUUAAUUCGAUGAUACGCGAGGAACCUUACCCGGGUUUGAACGUAGUCUGACCGGAGUGGAAACACUCUUUCUAGCAAUAGCAGAUUACGAGGUGCUGCAUGGUUGUCGUCAGCUCGUGCCGUGAGGUGUCGGCUUAAGUGCCAUAACGAGCGCAACCCUUGCCGUUAGUUACUAACAAGUAAAGUUGAGGACUCUAGCGGGACUGCCAGCGUAAGCUGUGAGGAAGGCGGGGAUGACGUCAAAUCAGCACGGCCCUUACAUCCGGGGCGACACACGUGUUACAAUGGCGUGGACAAAGAGCAGCCACUUGGUGACAAGGAGCUAAUCUCCAAACCACGUCUCAGUUCGGAUCGGAGUCUGCAACUCGACUCCGUGAAGCUGGAUUCGCUAGUAAUCGCGCAUCAGCCAUGGCGCGGUGAAUACGUUCCCGGGCCUUGUACACACCGCCCGUCAAGCCAUGGGAGCCGGGGGUACCUGAAGUCCGUAACCGCGAGGAUCGGCCUAGGGUAAAACUGGUGACUGGGGCUAAGUCGUAACAAGGUAGCCGUACCGGAAGGUGCGGCUG